AUUGAACGCUGGCGGCAGGCCUAACACAUGCAAGUCGAACGGUAACAGGAAACAGCUUGCUGUUUCGCUGACGAGUGGCGGACGGGUGAGUAAUGUCUGGGAAACUGCCUGAUGGAGGUGGAUAACUACUGGAAACGGUAGCUAAUACCGCAUAACGUCGCAAGACCAAAGAGGGGGACCCUCGGGCCUCUUGCCAUCGGAUGUGCCCAGAUGGGAUUAGCUUGUUGGUGGGGUAACGGCUCACCAAGGCGACGAUCCCUAGCUGGUCUGAGAGGAUGACCAGCCACACUGGAACUGAGACACGGUCCAGACUCCUACGGGAGGCAGCAGUGGGGAAUAUUGCACAAUGGGCGCAAGCCUGAUGCAGCCAUGCCGCGUGUAUGAAGAAGGCCUUCGGGUUGUAAAGUACUUUCAGCGGGGAGGAAGGGAGUAAAGUUAAUACCUUUGCUCAUUGACGUUACCCGCAGAAGAAGCACCGGCUAACUCCGUG
rnacentral:rRNA from 1 species